UCAGUCUCUGAUGCAAAUACACCUGAAAUGAAGAAGUCCCUACUUGGUGAUGAUUCAUCCCACGACUCUGGUGCUGAAGUGGCCCCAUCCCCUAGUCACAGCAAUGAAGAAGAGUCACGAGCCACUGAAUAAUUAGUUGUCCAAGUCGUUUGGAACAAGAUAUACCAGGAUACAUAAAAUAAUCAUCACAUUACAUGGUAGAGAAAAACUAAUUUGUCACUGACCUACAAUCACCUUCUUCCAAAAACUGAAUAUGGGCUAAUUUAGUUCCUGCUUCAUGUGUAACACUGAAUGUCUCCAGUACCCCACAAACAAACAAACUAAUCUAAACCUCAUAGAAAUUGUGAAACUGAGAUGAGCUUUUUUUAUUUGGAGCAAAGACAUCAGAAAUAAGCUUUGUUCCUCAGUGUGACCUAUAAAAUCUGACACUAAAAUCGGUCUGAUGAAUGAGGAAAUAUGAAUUCUUCAGACUGACUUCAUGAAGCCCAUGUAUGUAUGUUUGGGAAAACAAACUGAGAAUGCUAAGAAUAAACCAGUCAUUAAGCUACUUGUGAAUAGUAAAGAGGUUUUUGUCAGUUUAGUUGAGCUGCCUCUUAACUGUAGUAACUGGUGGAAGGGAACAUUUACACUGUGAUGUUUUAAUAUGUAAUGUCGUUUUUUUCCUUCCAACAAAUCUGCUGAAACUCCUCAAUGAUAAUUGCAAAGUAUUAAAAAAAAAUACUUAAGAAGGAAAAGAGAGAUUGAAAGACUUCCAAAUAAUGAAAUGUACUGCAAUAUGAGUUAUUUUUGUAAACUAAUAAAUGAAACUCAUGAUUUGAAAACAUAUUGGGUUAACUGAGAAAAAUGUAAUCAUUAAAGGAUUGACACUACAUAUGCUAUUUGCACUCAUCUAUGAAUUAGGGGAUUUUAGUUCAGCUCUUUAAAUAUAUUAAAAUUUUUACAAUGUUGAAAACUAGAUAUUCAAAACAAAUUGAUUUACUUCAUAAAUAAAUGCUCUUCUUUUUAACAUUUGCUUCAAUGGAUUGAUUAUUUUCAAAGCUUUAUUACUUUUUGUAAUCUCUAUUAAUGUAAUACAAGAUUGCUUUCUUAAAAGUUUUUGUUCUGGUUUUUGUUCUUUGUUUUACUUGUCAAUUAAGUCUUUGUGGGUAUUUGCUCUAAAGUUCAAUAAUAAAUGACUAAAUAAUAAUAUUUCUACUGUAGUUUGCACUUCUGGUACAAAGAUUAGAGAAACAUAUUAUGAUAUGGGAUAAAGUUUUAUUCUUUAUGUUGUAUUGUGACAAUGUAAGCAAAAAAUAUGCAUUUUUUUAAAUAAAGGCCCUGUAUUCUUUAA